rnacentral:rRNA from 1 species
AUACGUAGGGUGCGAGCGUUGUCCGGAAUUACUGGGCGUAAAGAGCUCGUAGGUGGUUUGUCGCGUCGUCUGUGAAAUUCCGGGGCUUAACUCCGGGCGUGCAGGCGAUACGGGCAUAACUUGAGUACUGUAGGGGAGACUGGAAUUCCUGGUGUAGCGGUGAAAUGCGCAGAUAUCAGGAGGAACACCGGUGGCGAAGGCGGGUCUCUGGGCAGUAACUGACGCUGAGGAGCGAAAGCAUGGGUAGCGAACAGGAUUAGAUACCCUGGUAGUCCAUGCCGUAAACGGUGGGCGCUAGGUGUAGGGGUCUUCCACGACUUCUGUGCCGUAGCUAACGCAUUAAGCGCCCCGCCCGGGGAGUACGGCCGCAAGGCUAAAACUCAAAGGAAUUGACGGG